CUGGAAGAUAAUAUUUGAGGAAGUGAAGGAGACUGGAUUGGGAAGAGCAAGAAGCUAACCAGUAACGUGAUUGCACAGGAGACAUUACAGAAUCAUACAGUGUUUUGCUCUUGUUGUCCCGACUGGAUUGCAAUGGCCCCAUCUCAACUCACAUCAACCUCUGCCUUCUAGGCAGAUGAUAUUAUGCGGCCAUUCUGCUGUCACUCAGCAAAAGUGUUUUAAUUUAGAAGACAAGAAAAAUUAA
rnacentral:lncRNA from 13 species